GACGAACGCUGGCGGCGUGCUUAACACAUGCAAGUCGAACGCUGAAGCUCAGCUUUUGUUGGGUGGAUGAGUGGCGAACGGGUGAGUAACACGUGAGUAACCUGCCUCCUUCUUUGGGAUAACGCCCGGAAACGGGUGCUAAUACUGGAUAUUCACUGGUCUUCGCAUGGGGGUUGGUGGAAAGGGUUUUUCUGGUGGGGGAUGGGCUCGCGGCCUAUCAGCUUGUUGGUGGGGUGAUGGCCUACCAAGGCUUUGACGGGUAGCCGGCCUGAGAGGGUGACCGGUCACAUUGGGACUGAGAUACGGCCCAGACUCCUACGGGAGGCAGCAGUGGGGAAUAUGGCACAAUGGGCGCAAGCCUGAUGCAGCGACGCCGCGUGAGGGAUGGAGGCCUUCGGGUUGUGAACCUCUUUCGCUCAUGGUCAAGCCGCAACAAUGGUUGUGGUGAGGGUAGUGGGUAAAGAAGCGCCGGCUAACUACGUG
rnacentral:rRNA from 1 species